AUUGAACGCUGGCGGCAGGCCUAACACAUGCAAGUCGAACGAGUGGCGGACGGGUGAGUAAUGACUGGGAAACUGCCUGAUGGAGGGGGAUAACUACUGGGAACGGUAGCUAAUAACGCAUACCAUCAGAUGUGCCCAGAUGGGAUUAUCUUGUUGGUGGGGUAACGGCUCACCAAGGCCACGAUCCCUAUCUGGUCUGAGAGGAUGACCAGACAAACUGGAACUGAGACACGGUCCAGACUCCUACGAGAGGCAGCAGUGGGGAAUAUUGCACAAAGGGCGCAAGCCUGAUGCAGCCAUGCCGCGUGUAUGAAGAAGGACUGCGGGGUGUAAAGUACUUUCAGCGGGGAGGCGUUACCCGCAGAAGAAGCACCGGCUAACUCCGUGCCAGCAGCCGCGGUAAUUC
rnacentral:rRNA from 1 species